GGAGAGAGAAAGACCGGCCUUUGCUAUAAGUGGCGAUUCUCUAUUUUAUGUGAAGGACCGGUUUUUGCGCUUCUAUGAGUUCUCCACUCAAAAAGAUUCACAGGUCAUCCCGAUUCGAAGGCCUGGUUCCACUAGCUUGAAUCAGAGCCCAAGGACCCUUUCAUUUAGCCCUACUGAAAACACCAUUCUUAUUUGCUCAGAUCUGGAUGGGGGGUGUUAUGAAUUUUACACCAUUCCUAAGGAUAGCUUUGGUAGAAGCGAUGGCUUCCAAGAUGCAAAGAGAGGACUUGGAGGAUCGGCAGUGUUUGUGGCUCGGAAUAGGUUUGCCGUGCUUGAUAAAAGUCACAACCAA
rnacentral:misc_RNA from 1 species